GGUGCGCGAGGGCACCCGGAAUGCGUUGUGCCGCUUCGUGUGCGGCAUCAGGGUCGCGGCCGUUGACCACGACCCGCGCACCG
rnacentral:tRNA from 1 species